UUUUUUUUACAUGCGCCUUUUUCAUGUAUAUGGGGAUGUCUACUUUAAAUAGUAACAACUUUCAACAACGGAUCUCUUGGCUCUCGCAUCGAUGAAGAACGCAGCGAAAUGCGAUAAGUAAUGUGAAUUGCAGAAUUCAGUGAAUCAUCGAAUCUUUGAACGCACCUUGCGCUCCCUGGUAUUCCGAGGAGCAUGCCCGUUUGAGUGUCAUGAAAACCCUCAACCCCACAUCGCACCCCGGUGUGAGGGUUGGACUUGGGUGCUGCUGCGACCUUUCCGUGGCUCGCCUCAAAUGCAUUAGUCGACUCUGUCGGCCUCACCUUUGACGUGAUAGACAUCGCCGUCGAGUUGGGGCUUUGACCUGUUGGAGCGGCUCACAACUGUCUUUGGACAAACCUUUUCAUAACUUUGACCUCAAAUC
rnacentral:rRNA from 1 species